rnacentral:rRNA from 1 species
AGGACGAACGCUUGCGGCGUGCCUAAGAAAUGCAAGUCGAGCGGAAGUAGCAAUACUUUAGCGGCGAACGGUCGCGUAACACGUAGCCAACCUGCCCAGAAGACCGGGACAACACUCCGAAAGGGGUGCUAAUACCGGAUGUGCCCAUUUUGCCACAUGGCUUAAUGAGUAAAUCAUUUAUGGCUUCUGGAGGGGCUGCGGCCUAUCAGCUAGAUGGUGGGGUAAUGGCCUACCAUGGCGUCGACGGGUAGCUGGUCUGAGAGGAUGGUCAGCCGGACUGGGACUGAGAUACGGGCCCAGACUCCUACGGGGGCAGCAAUUAGGAAUCUUGCGCAAUGGGGGCAACCCUGACGCAGCGACGCCGCGUGGAGGAUGACGGCCUUCGGGUUGUAAACCUCUUUCAGCAGGGACGAAGCGAAAGUGACGGUACCUGCAGAAGAAGCACCGGCUAACUACGUGCCAGCAGCCGCGGU